UACGUAGGGUGCGAGCGUUGUCCGGAAUUAUUGGGCGUAAAGAGCUCGUAGGCGGUUUGUCGCGUCGGUUGUGAAAGCCCGGGGCUUAACCCUGGGUCUGCAGUCGAUACGGGCAGGCUGGAGUUCGGCAGGGGAGACUGGAAUUCCUGGUGUAGCGGUGAAAUGCGCAGAUAUCAGGAGGAACACCGGUGGCGAAGGCGGAUCUCUGCGCCUGUUCUGACGCUGAGGAGCGAAGGCGUGGGGAGCAAACAGG
rnacentral:misc_RNA from 1 species